rnacentral:rRNA from 1 species
GAUGAACGCUGGCGGCGUGCCUAAUACAUGCAAGUCGAGCGAACGGACGAGAAGCUUGCUUCUCUGAUGUUAGCGGCGGACGGGUGAGUAACACGUGGAUAACCUACCUAUAAGACUGGGAUAACUUCGGGAAACCGGAGCUAAUACCGGAUAAUAUUUUGAACCGCAUGGUUCAAAAGUGAAAGACGGUCUUGCUGUCACUUAUAGAUGGAUCCGCGCUGCAUUAGCUAGUUGGUAAGGUAACGGCUUACCAAGGCAACGAUGCAUAGCCGACCUGAGAGGGUGAUCGGCCACCCUGGCACUGAGGCACGGUCCAGACUCCUACGGGAGGCAGCAGUAGGGAAUCUUCCGCAAUGGGCGAAAGCCUGACGGUGCAACGCCGCGUGAGUGAUGAAGGUCUUCGGAUCGUAAAACUCUGUUAUUAGUGAAGAACAUAUGUGUAAGUAACUGUGCACAUCUUGACGGUACCUAAUCAGAAAGCCACGGCUAACUACGUG